CUAAUGGUGGAUUGAUUAAACCGAUGAGUGGUAAGGACAUUUGUCUCUCACCCAGGAGUCCUGGGUUCGAUUCCCAGUCAAAGAGCUAGA